rnacentral:rRNA from 1 species
GAUGAACGCUGGCGGCGUGCUUAACACAUGCAAGUCGAACGGAAAGGCCCAAGCUUGCUUGGGUACUCGAGUGGCGAACGGGUGAGUAACACGUGGGUGAUCUGCCCUGCACUUCGGGAUAAGCCUGGGAAACUGGGUCUAAUACCGGAUAGGACCACUUCUUGGAUGUUGUGGUGGAAAGUUUUUUCGGUGUGGGAUGAGCUCGCGGCCUAUAAGCUUGUUGGUGGGGUAAUGGCCUACCAAGGCGUCGACGGGUAGCCGGCCUGAGAGGGUGUACGGCCACAUUGGGACUGAGAUACGGCCCAGACUCCUACGGGAGGCAGCAGUGGGGAAUAUUGCACAAUGGGCGCAAGCCUGAUGCAGCGACGCCGCGUGGGGGAUGACGGCCUUCGGGUUGUAAACUCCUUUCGCUAGGGACGAAGCGUUUUGUGACGGUACCUGGAGAAGAAGCACCGGCUAACUACGUG